rfam:Streptococcus sp. HSISM1 chromosome, whole genome shotgun sequence.
AUGCCUGUGCAACCGCUCGAUCAUCGUCGCUCAUUUUCAUGAGAGUAAGUGGUUCGUCCCACGAUGCUAGGCGAGUCUUCACAAAAAU